AGCAGGGCAUGGGUGAGGGUGUGAUGAAGCUCUUCCAUCACUGCCACAGGAAGGAUGAGUAUUUGGUUAAACCUGUCAGAUUUUUUGUUUGUUUGUUUGUUUUAGGGCCUCACCCUUGGCAUAUAGAAGUUCCUUGGCUAGAGGUCGAAUCAGAGCUACACCUGCCUGCCUGUGUCACAGCCACAGCAACACAAGAUUCAAGCCAUGUCUGCAACCUACACCACAGCUCAGGGCAACGCUGGAUCCUUAAGCCACUGAGCGAGGCCAGGGAUCUAACCUGCAACCUCAUGGUUCCUAGUCAGAUUCAUUUCCACUGCACCACAAUGGGAACUCCAAACCUGACAGUUUUAUUCAAGCACUGGUAAUUAUCUUUUGUGAAAGUUAGUGAUGAUGUGCUUUCAAAAUUGAGCUUGAUUGUGCUGCACAUGGCAGCAACCAGUUGUGGUAUUUCCUCUCAGUUUCCCAAGGUUUACUGUGGGGGGAAGAUAGCUUGUCUUCCUAUUUAAUUAACUUAAUCCAGCAGAGUGGCUUGUGUCCCUGUGCCCCAAAGCAAAGGCUGUGAAAAGAGAAGGCAUCAUGUCUGUUUCCUCUGGGACAUCCUCUUCCUCAUGUGACACAGGUGCUUGUAAGCAUCUGCUUGGCUCCAUGCUCCUAGGGGACAGACAGGUAUUAGUUUUGCUCAUGUCACAUAAUUGUCAAAUACUAUUGCUGCUCCUAUGAAACCAUCAAUAUUUAGGUAAUAACAGAUACUAAAUUUUUUCUUUACUAUAAUGAAUGAAGGAAACUCAUUUUUAAUUCAGAUUUUAAAAUGCUUUUGCUUUGAAGGCACAGAAAAAUAAAAUAGAUAAGAAAUUUUGCAGAGUUUGAAUAAAGACUCAAUUGUAAUGAUCUAAAAACAGAUACUGGUUUAAUUUCUAAUUGCUUUUUAGCAAUAAUUGGUUAAGAUGACCCCCUCCCUGCCUUUUUUCUUUUACCAUGGACACCACUUUUUCUGUUUUUAAAGUUUUAUAUGGAAAACUUCUGUGAUAUAUUUUUUUCCUUAAAGAAUCUAUUGUUUUCCAUAUCUUAGUACCUUUUUUACUAUAAGUAAGAGAAGGCUGAUGACCUAAAUUAAAUUUAAAAACAUUUACUUUGUAUUUUUUUAUACUGUUUGGAUUUGGAUUGCCAAAGAUAAAAUGAGCCUCUAGAUCUCAUUCUACCAUUUAGCGACAAUUUCCUCCUUUCUUUUUCUUUUUAGGUCUGCACUUGUGGCAUAUGUAAGUUCCCAGGCUAGCGGUUGAAGUGGAGCUGCAGCUGCCAGCCUAUGCCACAGCCACAGCAACUAGGGAUCCAAGCCACAUCUGCAACCUACACCAUAGCUCAUGGCAAUGCUGAAUCCAUAACCCACUGAAUGAGGCCAGGGAUAGAACCCGCAUCCUCAUGGACACUAUGUUGGGUUCUUAACCCUCUGAGCCGCAACAGGAACUCCAAAGACAGUUUCAUUUUAGACAAAUAAUCAAUCAAUAAUUCAUGUUGCAGUUACUACUGUAAAAAUGGACCUAAUGGCCUAUUUUCAAGACAGAUGAUACUCUUGAAAGUAUCUAGAUAAGGAGACUGUUGGGUUGAAAUUGCCCCUUUAAAAUGCUGCCUGUUUCUUUUAAAAAUGUAAAUGUAAAUAUAACUUACUUCCAGAGAAAUUUAUUUUCCUUAUGAAGUGCUCUCCACAACAGUGGUAGAUGGUCUCUCUUCCUCAUAAAAGAAAGUUCAAAAACACAUGUUGAGGUUUGGAAAUACCUUCUCUUCAACACUGUGAGCCAGGGGAGAUUUUUCCAUUGCUUCACUUUUUCUUCUUUUACUUUAUUUUACUUUCAUAUCUGCCAGUGAUGUUUCAAAAUCAGAAGUUAACUUGGAAUUGCAGAGCUGCAAGCUUAAACGGACUUUCCAUUAAUGAGCAGGUUUAGACAUUAUUCUAUUUUGAGGACAGUCUUAAAUUAAUUUUGACUUAAACACAGAAAAUUGAUAGUUUGGAAAGAUUUGUAAUGUCAGGUGAUUUGUUUCAGUUUCAAAACCAGGAUGGAGAGAGCAGGUAUAUUAUAAUGUUAGUGAAUGUGUUAUGAAAACACUGACUUUGCCAGUAUUUCUUUAGUGCUCAGGUGGGAGCCACACUGACUGAUGGCAUCUCAUCAUUUCUUCUUGUCCUUGGCCUGUGAUACCCUGUAAUGCUCUCCAUGUGCACAUUUACAGCAGGCCCUUGCAGGUACCCCACUUGGGAGGGCUCAGGAAUGCACCAAAUAAGGGCCAGAUCCUUGCUGUCUGUUCUAGAACUCCCUGGGCAAAGAAGAGAGUUACCUGGUAACCUGCAGAGAUAAACAUAGUAACUUUCAAUUCAGUUGAUCCAGGAUUUCCAUCUAAUUGUCUUAGAAAAUUUAUCCCUAAUACAUUUUGAUUUAGAACAGAACACAAAGUUAAAUUAUUACCUAAAAUGUUCACUGUUGAGACCAUCUUUUAUUGCCAAAUUAUGUAAAUCAAAACAUAAUGUUUUUAACCUUUCAACUUUUAUACUGAUUUAAAGGACAGAUAAUCCCAUUCCCAAGCCAUAAAACUGUUCCUCAGAAACAGAAAUGGGACAUAAAAAGCCUUGGGAACUUUCCUGCUUCAAGUUGCCUCUCUGUUUUCUAGGAGACUGGAAAAUACAGUAAUUCUAGCCCACAGACAUGGUCAUGAGACUCAGUUUUCUGGUAUUAGUCUACUUGCCAAAACCUAGACCGUAUCAUACAGAACCCUCAUGCCACCCAGGCUGGGAAACCUACCUCCCAUUUCAGCCACCAGUAGGGAAGAAGGUGCUUUUGUGUUAACGGACAUAGAAUGUCUCUACUUUGCCCUUCCCCUUAAUGUGAUUUCUUGUUCCUCUCCAUGUUUUGAGUUGCUGAUGGGUUCUUGCUCUGGCAUCCUCUUUUGUCCUGGCCAUAGUGACCUGUGUGUACUCAUGGUUACUAUGUGAGCUCAGCGUCUGUGCUUCAGAAUCAUCACCUUCACAGAAAGCUUGUAUCUGAGGCUGUGCAGCAUGGUGCUGAGUAGAUGGGAGAGCAUGUUUGGCUAGGUGGCUGCAAAAAGAGACUGAAAGCACAGUCUGUUGUUAAAACGGUGAGUAGAGAUGUGGCAGAUAAAUAAUGACAUCUUUUCUCCUAGGCCUUAGACACACUUCUUAAGGUAAAC
rnacentral:lncRNA from 1 species